CUCCUCGAAAAGGUUAGGGAAGGAGCCCUCUGAAAAUAUCACCGCAGCUGAUAAUUCUCACAAGGCUCAGCUGGUGGGGCUGAGUUGGUUCCAGGAAAAUACAGUCAGGUGGCUACAUCAGGAUUUCAGGCCCAUCAUAAAGUUCAUGUAUGCAAGGACUCUGUUGAUUGUGAUGGUGCGGACCUGGAAGCCCUUCAACACUUUGCAGAGGCUCAG